UGUUAUAUGAAUUCAUACUUGAUUUGUGAUGAUGACUUAAUAAUGUUUCCAUGUCUCUUUUAGGUUGACCACCCUAUAUAUGAGACCCUAAGGGGUUGUUUUCCCUCUGUCCCCUUUUGAGGACCUGCUUUGUCUCCUCCAUCAUUCACUGGGCCACUUUUGGGUUCCUGAGCUUAUUUCAUGUGGUCAUGAAUUUGGUGAGGAGUGGAGCUGGCUGGCUGCGGACGAGGAAGUAGGGCAAUAUAUACAUGUGCACAUACACGUAUAUGAGAAUGCAUAUCUAUUCAGACCUGUAAUUCACGCCUUAGGCUUUUUCACACUGCUAUAGAUAAUAAUUUUUUUUUCAAUUCUCUAUUUAUGGUUUCACAAUGACUGAGUCACCGUUAAAACAAAUGAGUUUCAGCUCUAAUGCUGCUACUGUCUGUAAUAUGUUUCUAUUUAGAUUAUUUGUUUGAUAUUUUGUUAUUAUUGUCCGAGUCUGGUUUUAACUAAUGCUGGGCUUACACCAAAAGAUUUUCACAGUCACAGACUAAAAACUGAAAGGGUAGCAUGAGGGUUCUUCCCGUUAGUCUCGUCCCACCCCUAGUCAUGACAUAACUUCUGUUGUGAUUUGACACUAUAAUGAAUAAAGACUGAUUGAUUGAUUGCUAUAGCUGUCAAUUUUAGUCCUUGAGUUCAUAGUUACGUGCUUUAUUUGUUAACUGCUAUCAAGGAAUAU
rnacentral:lncRNA from 1 species